rnacentral:rRNA from 1 species
GAUGAACGCUGGCGGCGUGCCUAAUACAUGCAAGUCGAGCGAACGGACGAGAAGCUUGCUUCUCUGACGUUAGCGGCGGACGGGUGAGUAACACGUGGAUAACCUACCUAUAAGACUGGGAUAACUUCGGGAAACCGGAGCUAAUACCGGAUAAUAUUUUGAACCGCAUGGUUCAAAAGUAAAAGACGGUCUUGCUGUCACUUAUAGAUGGAUCCGCGCUGCAUUAGCUAGUUGGUAAGGUAACGGCUUACCAAGGCAACGAUGCAUAGCCGACCUGAGAGGGUGAUCGGCCACACUGGAACUGAGACACGGUCCAGACUCCUACGGGAGGCAGCAGUAGGGAAUCUUCCGCAAAGGGCGAAAGCCUGACGGAGCAACGCCGCGUGAGUGAUGAAGGUCUUCGGAUCGUAAAACUCUGUUAUUAGGGAAGAACAUAUGUGUAAGUAACUGUGCACAUCUUGACGGUACCUAAUCAGAAAGCCACGGCUAACUACGUG